UGCGUUCCUCUAUAGUCAGGUAAAAGCUCUAAAACUUGAAAUCCUGACACACUUAAGGAAGUCAGCCAAAGCCAUGCAUCAAGUCAGCAUCAGAAUGAAAAAAUAAAAAAAAUUUGAAAUGAGAUACUGUGAGGUUGGAGGCUGUUCAGAAAUGGGUUGCAAGAAUGAAAGGAAAUCUAUGCUACAGAACUGAAGACACAAACUGCUGUGCUCCCCUGAGAAAGGUUGUAAGCUGACUUGACACACUGUAAACAGAGACAAGAGGAAGACUUUUAUGAUAAAGUACAAUAAUCUAGUAUGCCAGAAGCAAAGGAUGAGAAAGGAUAUUUAUUGAAUUUUUUCAAUGAAAACAUGAAUAUCAUGAAAUGUAAGUUUUACAAUGUAAUAAUUAUAUCAGAAAAAAAAUUAAGUAGGUGUAUAGUCUGAAAACUGAAUGCUUAGUAACAUUUCAUUAAUUAUGGAUUUCUUACUAAAGGAUUAUCGAACCUCAACAGACUUCAACUUCAGCAUUUCCUUUAAGGAGGUCAUGGAAUUAUGUUGUGAUGCAGUUAGAUUUAUUUUGCUGAAUUCCUUGGGUUGAAUUGUUAUUAGUACUCAGCAAUACAUAGUGCAUAGGAAAAAAGGAAUGACAACUCUUCUUCCCACCAUUCCAAGUAUAUAACUCUGUAUUUAGUUUACUCAAAAAAAAAAAAAAAAAAAGAGCCCUAAAUUAUUUAGCUUGUAGUACAGCCAAAUUUUCUUGGAUUUCUGUGUUCAAAGUUUCUAAACUUUAAAAUCAUGUGCUAAAUUUCUUGUAGCAGAUGACAAGUGCCCCACAGGGAUGACUUUCAAAUUGCUUGGAAGCAUCUGCAACAAAGUAUUUUUUAAAUAUAGGUAGGGCCACAGUCUGGUAUUUCUUUCUGAAAAGAUGUUGCAGGAGCAAGAAAAAGCAGAGUACUUGAUUAGAACUCUGAAAUUUAUAAUUUCUUGUGAAAGUUUUGCACACAUAAAAGUGAUCAUAUACUCUAUCACGGUUAUUCAAAUCGAAGCCUGAAUACUGCCACAGGAGUAACAGCAGGCUUUUGAUUUGAGAGGAAAUUCUUAUUUUGGCUGAGGAGAAAGAGAAAUGUUGUAAUGUGAUCCAGCUUUGAUUAAGGUCUCAGUGUCAAGUGGUUUUAAUACUGCUAAUGGCCAAGUACCUUCGGUUUGUUAUCUUUCAGUGCACACUGCAGCAUUAAGCGUGAGUUUGCAAACAUCCAGCAAAAGCUCCUGUUGCUAUUGAUACCUAGUGCACUACUCUCAGCAUAUUCCAGCCCACUGAUAGCAGAAGCUAUUUAGCAUGCACUCCUGCCACAGCUAAAAGUCACCUAGCCAUAUAAUACUGCCUACAGCUUAGCUAUCAAUACUUGUGUUUCAUCAGAAAGGCAUUUUUUCUAAUCAUAAUGUUUCCAAGAAAUGCAAAGUUCUGGACUCAACAUUUUACUUAGGUCAGUGUUCUACAAAAUCAAAUACUUUCUCAUUGCCAGCUGGCAAAGUUUCAGGGAUUUCUUCAGAUAUUUCAACAUAACUGUAUUUUAAAAAGAGCAGGCUCUUUUUGCCCCAUCUAGACUUGAACUGCACAACAUAAAGGCACCAAAAAUUACUUGCUCUCUGAUUCCACAUUAAGCCCUUCGGAUUUCUUCUGGAGACUUGGAACUCUUUGGAAGCCAAGGCUUCCACAAUG